GCGACCUCAGCUCAGGCGGGGCCACC
rnacentral:rRNA from 1 species